AGAGUUUGAUCCUGGCUCAGAACGAACGCUGGCGGCAGGCUUAACACAUGCAAGUCGAGCGCCCAGCAAUGGGAGCGGCGGACGGGUGAGUAACACGUGGGAACAUGCCCUUUGGUACGGGACAACUCAGGGAAACUUGAGCUAAUACCGUAUGUGCCGGUAACGGGAAAGAUUUAUCGCCAAAGGAAUGGCCCGCGUCCGAUUAGCUAGUUGGUGAGGUAAUGGCUCACCAAGGCACCGAUCGGUAGCUGGUUUGAGAGAACGACCAGCCACACUGGGACUGAGACACGGCCCAGACUCCUACGGGAGGCAGCAGUGGGGAAUCUUGGACAAUGGGGGCAACCCUGAUCCAGCCAUGCCGCGUGAGUGAUGAAGGCCUUCGGGUUGUAAAACUCUUUC
rnacentral:rRNA from 1 species